rnacentral:rRNA from 1 species
UGAACAUUGGGUAGGGGAGCGUUCUGUAAGCCGUUGAAGGUGUGUUGUAAAGCAUGCUGGAGGUAUCAGAAGUGCGAAUGCUGACAUGAGUAACGACAAGGGGGGUGAAAAACCUCCCCGCCGGAAGACCAAGGGUUCCUGUCCAACGUUAAUCGGGGCAGGGUAAGUCGACCCCUAAGGCGAGGCUGAAAAGCGUAGUCGAUGGGAAACGGGUUAAUAUUCCCGUACUUCUUACAAUUGCGAUGGGGGGACGGAGAAGGCUAGGUGGGCCUGGCGACGGUUGUCCAGGUUCAAGUGCGUAGGCUGAGUGUUUAGGUAAAUCCGGACACUCUUAAGGCUGAGACACGACGUCGAGCUACUACGGUAGUGAAGUCAUUGAUGCCAUGCUUCCAGGAAAAGCCUCUAAGCUUCAGAUUGUAAGGAAUCGUACCCCAAACCGACACAGGUGGUCGGGUAGAGAAUACCAAGGCGCUUGAGAGAACUCGGGUGAAGGAACUAGGCAAAAUGGUACCGUAACUUCGGGAGAAGGUACGCUCUUGAUGGUGAAGUCCCUUGCGGAUGGAGCUGACGAGAGUCGCAGAUACCAGGUGGCUGCAACUGUUUAUUAAAAACACAGCACUGUGCAAAAUCGUAAGAUGACGUAUACGGUGUGACGCCUGCCCGGUGCCGGAAGGUUAAUUGAUGGGGUUAGCGUAAGCGAAGCUCUUGAUCGAAGCCCCGGUAAACGGCGGCCGUAACUAUAACGGUCCUAAGGUAGCGAAAUUCCUUGUCGGGUAAGUUCCGACCUGCACGAAUGGCGUAAUGAUGGCCACGCUGUCUCCACCCGAGACUCAGUGAAAUUGAAAUCGCUGUGAAGAUGCAGUGUACCCGCGGCUAGACGGAAAGACCCCGUGAACCUUUACUACAGCUUGGCACUGAACAUUGAACCUACAUGUGUAGGAUAGGUGGGAGGCUUUGAAGACGUGACGCCAGUUGCGUUGGAGCCGUCCUUGAAAUACCACCCUUGUAUGUUUGAUGUUCUAACGUUGGCCCCUAAUCGGGGUUGCGGACAGUGCCUGGUGGGUAGUUUGACUGGGGCGGUCUCCUCCCAAAGAGUAACGGAGGAGCACGAAGGUGGGCUAAUCACGGUUGGACAUCGUGAGGUUAGUGCAAUGGCAUAAGCCCGCUUAACUGCGAGAAUGACGGUUCGAGCAGGUGCGAAAGCAGGUCAUAGUGAUCCGGUGGUUCUGAAUGGAAGGGCCAUCGCUCAACGGAUAAAAGGUACUCCGGGGAUAACAGGCUGAUACCGCCCAAGAGUUCAUAUCGACGGCGGUGUUUGGCACCUCGAUGUCGGCUCAUCACAUCCUGGGGCUGAAGUCGGUCCCAAGGGUAUGGCUGUUCGCCAUUUAAAGUGGUACGCGAGCUGGGUUUAGAACGUCGUGAGACAGUUCGGUCCCUAUCUGCCGUGGGCGUUGGAAGAUUGAAGGGGGCUGCUCCUAGUACGAGAGGACCGGAGUGGACGAACCUCUGGUGUUCGGGUUGUGUCGCCAGACGCAUUGCCCGGUAGCUAAGUUCGGAAUCGAUAACCGCUGAAAGCAUCUAAGCGGGAAGCGAGCCCUGAGAUGAGUCUUCCCUGAUACUUUAAGUAUCCUAAAGGGUUGUUCGAGACUAGAACGUUGAUAGGCAGGGUGUGUAAGCGCUGUGAGGCGUUGAGCUAACCUGUACUAAUUGCCCGUGAGGCUUAACCAUACAACACCCAAAGGGUUUUG